rnacentral:rRNA from 1 species
ACUACGGGGUGCAGCAGUGAGGAAUAUUGGUCAAUGGGCGGAAGCCUGAACCAGCCAAGUCGCGUGAGGGAAUAAGGCCCUACGGGUCGUAAACCUCUUUUGCCGGGGAGCAAGGGCGGGGACGUGUCCCGGCCCGGAGAGUACCCGGAGAAAAAGCAUCGGCUAACUCCGUGCCAGCAGCCGCGGUAAUACGGAGGAUGCGAGCGUUAUCCGGAUUUAUUGGGUUUAAAGGGUGCGUAGGCGGAAUAUCAAGUCAGCGGUAAAAAUUCGGGGCUCAACCCCGUCGUGCCGUUGAAACUGAUGUUCUGGAGUGGGCGAGAAGUAGGCGGAAUGCGGGGUGUAGCGGUGAAAUGCAUAGAUAUCACGCAGAACUCCGAUUGCGAAGGCAGCAUACCGGCGCCCAACUGACGCUGAAGCACGAAAGCGUGGGUAUCGAACAGGAUUAGAUACCCCUGUAGUC